rnacentral:sRNA from 2 species
CGUAAACUAUCGCUGAGUUCCAAUGGAAGCGGAGGACCCAGUUUCCUGGGGUGAAUCGCAUAUGCGUAGGGGAGCCUGCCCCCGAACCCGUCAGCUAACUCCGUAAGCGUGUAGGAUUUUGUAA